UACGUAGGGAGCAAGCGUUGUCCGGAAUCAUUGGGCGUAAAGAGCGUGUAGGCGGCCAGAUAAGUCCGCUGUGAAAUCUCGAGGCUCAACUUCGAGCUGUCGGUGGAAACUGUCUGGCUAGAGUCCGGAAGAGGAGAAUGGAAUUCCUGGUGUAGCGGUGAAAUGCGCAGAUAUCAGGAGGAACACCAAUGGCGAAGGCAGCUCGCUGGGACGGUACUGACGCUGAGGCGCGAAAGCGUGGGGAGCAAACAGG
rnacentral:rRNA from 1 species